UAGAGUAAAGGUUUUUACAGGUCUC
rnacentral:piRNA from 1 species